rnacentral:rRNA from 1 species
GUGAGGAAUAUUGGUCAAUGGGCGAGAGCCUGAACCAGCCAAGUCGCGUGAAGGAAGAAGGAUCUAUGGUUCGUAAACUUCUUUUGCAGGGGAAUAAAGUGCAGGACGUGUCCUGUUUUGUAUGUACCCUGAGAAUAAGGAUCGGCUAACUCCGUGCCAGCAGCCGCGGUAAUACGGAGGAUCCGAGCGUUAUCCGGAUUUAUUGUGUUUAUAGGGUUCGUAGGUGGUUUGAUAAGUCAGCGGUGAAAGUUUGCAGCUUAACUGUAAAAAUGCCGUUGAAACUGUCGGACUUGAGUGUAAAUGAGGUAGGCGGAAUGCGUGGUGUAGCGGUGAAAUGCAUAGAUAUCACGCAGAACUCCGAUUGCGAAGGCAGCUUACUAAGCUACAACUGACACUGAAGCACGAAAGCGUGGGGAUCAAACAGGAUUAGAUACCCCAGUAGUCC